rnacentral:rRNA from 1 species
GGCGUAAGCGCGCGCAGGUGGUUUCUUAAGUCUGAUGUGAAAGCCCACGGCUCAACCGUGGAGGGUCAUUGGAAACUGGGAGACUUGAGUGCAGAAGAGGAAAGUGGAAUUCCAUGUGUAGCGGUGAAAUGCGUAGAGAUAUGGAGGAACACCAGUGGCGAAGGCGACUUUCUGGUCUGUAACUGACACUGAGGCGCGAAAGCGUGGGGAGCAAACAGGAUUAGAUACCCUGGUAGUCCACGCCGUAAACGAUGAGUGCUAAGUGUUAGAGGGUUUCCGCCCUUUAGUGCUGAAGUUAACGCAUUAAGCACUCCGCCUGGGGAGUACGGCCGCAAGGCUGAAACUCAAAGGAAUUGACGGGGGCCCGCACAAGCGGUGGAGCAUGUGGUUUAAUUCAAAGCAACGCGAAGAACCUUACCAGGUCUUGACAUCCUCUGAAGAGGGAGAGAUAGGGCUUCUCCUUCGGGAGCACAGUGACAGGUGGUGCAUGGUUGUCGUCAGCUCGUGUCGUGAGAUGUUGGCUUAAGUCCCGC